rnacentral:lncRNA from 1 species
GCGCACUUCAGCUAAGAGGGUGCGAGAUUGAAAAAGCCCGCGGCGUCUUCUACACGCCACUUCGCUGGGCUCCUGUCUCUGUCGCUGAGAGGCACUCUGGAGAGUCUGCGGCAGCCUCUGUCACACAGGGACCUGCACUGGUCGUGGGAGCCGCAGAGAGGCCCCCGGGACACGGAGGAAUUCGGAAAAUGGUGUUGCUAAAUGCUGUCCCACAGGAUUUAGCAUUAAUCUGCCAAGUUCACAUAACAGGAAACGAACUUAUCCACGGUCACAAAUUCUUCAACCUGAGAAGGAGAAGAACUGAGGUUAUGGAACAUCUUUGUAAUUCACCAGUAUAAUCCACCACACUUUCUUUUGAAAACAACUCAUUUUUUCUGUAACCAAAAUGGAAGAGAGGUUUUUUUCCCUAUUUCUUUUCCCUGGUAGUAUUUUCAUGCUAAGGCCUAGAAUUCCAUUUGAAAUCACCCAAUAGAAAAAGGAGCUGAGAAACUUACUACCCAGGCUCUGGGAAGAAAAAUAAGAAUUUUUAUAAGGGAAUACAAGACUAGACUUUUUUUUUCCUAAAACCUACCAAAACCUACCUUCUUCUGGCAUGUUUGGAAAUACUUUAACUUCUCCAUCCAUCUCUAAUAAUAUAGUGCAUUUUACAGUUAUUAAAAAACUGAAGCUGCUCUCCCUCGUCUCCCACUUUCCACGGUCUCCCUCUGAUGCUGAGCCUCUCCCUCGUCUCCCACUUUCCAUGGUCUCCCUCUGAUGCCGAGCCGAGGCUGGACUGUACUGCCGCCAUCUCGGCUCACUGCAACCUCCCUGCCUCAUUCUCCUGCCUCAGACUGCCGAGUGCCUGGGAUUGCAGGCGUGCGCCACCACGCCUGACUGGUUUUUGUAUUUUUUGGUGGAGACGGGGUUUCGCCGUGUUGGCUGGGCUGGUCUCCAGCUCCUGACCGCGAGUGAUCUGCCCGCCUUGGCCUCCCGAGGUGCCGGGAUUGCAGACGGAGUCUCGCUCACGCAGUGCUCAAUCUUGCCCAGGCUGGAGUGCAGUGGCGUGACCUGGGCUUGCUACAACCUCCACCUCCCAGCCGCCUGCCUUGGCCUCCCAAAGUGCCGAGAUUGCAGCCUCUGCCCGGCCGCCACCCCGUCUGGGAAGUGAGGAGCGUCUCUGCCUGGCCGCCCAUCAUCUGGGAUGCGAGGAGCCCCUCUGCCCGGCUGCCCAGUCUGGGAAGUGAGGAGCGCCUCUUCCCGGCCACCAUCCCAUCUAGGAAGUGAGGAGUGUCUCUGCCUGGCCGCCCAUGGUCUGGGAUGUGAGGAGCGCCUCUGCCCUGCCGCCCAGUCUGGGAAGUGAGGAGCGCCUCUUCCCGGCGCCAUCCCAUCUAGGAAGUGAGGAGCGUCUCUGCCUUGCCGCCCAUCGUCUGAGAUGUGGGGAGCGCCUCUGCCCCACUGCCCUGUCUAGGAUGUGAGGAGCGCCUCUACCCGGCCGUGACCCCGUCUGGGAACUGAGGAGUGUCUCUGCCUGAACACCACCCCGUCUGGGAGGUGACGAGCGUCUCUGCCUGGCCACCCCGUCUGAGAAGUGAGGAGCCCCUCCGCCCAGCAGCUGCCCUGUCUGGGAAAGUGAGGAGCCCCUCUGCCUGGCAGCUGCCCCGUCUGGGAAGUGAGGAGGGUCUCCGCCCGGCAGCUGCCCCGUCCGGGAGGGAGGUGGGGGGCAGCCCCCGACCAGCCAGCUGCCCUGUCCAGGAGGAAGGGAGGUGGGGGGCAGCCCCCGCCUGGCCAGCCGCCCCGUCUGGGAGGUGGGGGGGCGCCUCCGCCUGGCCUCCACCCCGUCUGGGAGGUGUACCCAACAGCUCACUGAGAACGGGCCAUGAUGACGAUGGCAGUUUUGUCGAAUAGAAAAGGGGGAAAUGUGGGGAAAAGAAAGAUAAGAUUGUUACUGUGUCUGUGUAGAUAGUAGUAGACAUAGGAGACUCCAUUUUGUUCUAUACUAAGAAAAAUUCUUCUGCCUUGGGAUGCUGUUAUCUAUAACCUUACCCCCAACCCCGUGCUCUCUGAAACAUGUGCUGUGUCCACUCAGGUUUAAAUGGAUUAAGGGCAGUGCAAGAUGCGCUUUGUUAAACAGAUGCUUCAAGGCAGCAUGCUCGUUAAGAGUCAUCACCACUCCCCAAUCUCAAGUACCCAGGAACACAAACACUGCAGAAGGCCGCAGGAUCCUCUGCCUAGGAAAACCAGAGACCCUUGUUCACAACUGUUUAUCUGCCGACCUUCCCUCCACUAUUGUCCUAUGACCCUGCCAAAUCCCCCUCUCCGAGAAACACCCAAGAAUGAUAAAUAAAUACUAAAAAAAGAAAAAAAAAUUCCCCCUUCCCAUACAAAUAUGCCUAGCUCAUAAAAGCAAUCCUAAAAGAAAAAAAAAAAAAAAACUGAAGCUGAUGGCUGGGCAUGGUGGCUCACGCCUGUAAUCCCAGCACUUUGGGAGGCUGAGGUGGGCAGAUCACCUGAGGUCGGGAGUUCGAGACCAGCCUGACCAACAUGGUGAAACCCCAUCUCUACUAAACAUACAAAAUUAGGUGGGCAUUGUGGCACAUGCCUGUAAUCCCAGCUACCUGGGAGACUGAGGCAGAAGAAUUACUUGAACCUGGGAGGCGGAGGUUGCGGCAAACCGAGAUCGCGUCAUUGCACUCCAGCCUGGGCAACAACAGUGAAACUCCGUCUCAAAAAAAAAAAAAAAAACCUGAAGCUGAAAUGAGUAAACCAAUUUUUUCAAGGUGAUAAACCCAGGGAGGGGCAGUGCUGACCUGAAACACUCAAGUGUCUGACUCAAGUGUCAGGUCACAUCAUCCUAUCACUUGGGACAUCCCCCCACCUCCAAGCUGCUCCCUGAAGUGCUCAGUGACCACCCUCCCAGAAGACACUCAACUGUGUGCUUUUCAGGUCCUUGCAACAACUCAUUGGGGGUGGUUUUCUUCUUUCACUAGACUGAGAGAAUCCAGAGGACAGAAAUCAUUUCUUCUUUUUUUUUUUUUUUUUUUGAGACGGAGUCUUGCCCUGUCGCCCAGGCUGGAGUGCAGUGGCGCAAUCUCAGCUCACUGCAACCUCCACCUCCCGGGUUCUAGCAAUUCUGCCUCAGCCUCACGAGUAGCUGAGAUUACAAGGGUGCACCACCACGCCCAGCUAAUUUUUGGAUUUUUAGUAGAGUCGGGGUUUCACCAUGUUGGCCAGGCUGGUCUUGAACUCCUGACCUCAGGUGAUCCACCCACCUUGGCCUCCCAAAGUGCUAGGAUUACAGGACAGAAAUAAUUUGGUUUCCUCCAUACCAGAAUUUGAUUGGCUGACUAGCCAUGUGUCCCCAAGGAAUGGAAACGGGUUGGAGAAGAAAAGGCGUGUCCCAAGGGAUUAGUUUUUUACAAUAAUGAUAUAGGAGACUGGUCCCACCCCAUAGCAUCCAGCUGCUCCCUGGGGAGGCCUCACCGCCACACCUCAGGCUCUUUGGGAGGAACGACCUAGGGGCUGAUAUUCACUAGACUUUCCCAAGAGACUUGGCAGCUGUAGGCAUCUUGGGCCAGCCCCAGGUAGUCCUGAAACCCAGGAUCAGGAAAAGGCAGAGGGUGGGCUGAGGUCGCAUCACUGUAAAGUUUCCAAAGGGGAAUCUCAACCCAAGACAUUCUCAGAAGGUGUCUGUGCCUAGGGCAGAUAAAAAGAGACACAAAGAUUGUUUACAGCGGAGUGUCAGGUGGUUUUUCUCUGAAACGUUCACAAACACAAAACAAAUAUUUUUAAAACGGCCAUAUACUGCCCUCUAAAAAAAUGACGAUUAAAAUACUGCCUGUGUUUGAAACAUAGCCUGGAGGACGAAGAAGUGAUACUGUUGUGAACUAAAGGAAAUCCGUGUUAUAAAAUGCGGAAAGGGAUCAGGAAAUCCCAAAUUUGCUGCCAGCCUUAGGAGAAGGUAGCCUAGGGACCACAGUCGCGGAUUUGAGACCCUGCUUCGCGUAUAUUUGGGAAACUCAGAUAAAAUACAAAAGCCCCUGGUGAGAAAGAGGGAACUGGGGACCCCACAGCCUACAGCUCCUCUCACACGAACCCCAUACUCGAGGCAGGAUUUCCCCCAUGACCCUCUAGUGGCCCCCGUACAAUCUGGGGAGACACGGAGGCAGCGGGCGUGACUGGGGCAGCGGGCGCGGAGCUGACCAGAGAGGGCGCUGGGCCUGGGGCCACAGUCAGUUGCACAGGGACUGGACCGGACGGCUAGGGGUCUCGGCUGCCGUCGCAGCCCCACCCUGCGGCCUGAGAGGAACCAGGGCCGAGGUGCGCCAGGGGGACUUGGGUCUCAGAACCCAGAGUCAACUACGAAGAGGCCCGGGUCCCGCCACGGUCUAUUCCUGCCGGUUCCAACCAGUCCCAUCCUAGUCUCGGGACCCUCAGCCCCGCACACUCACCAAUUCCUGGCUUCCAGGUGUCCCAGUCCUCCCUACGGCUCCUGCUGCCAGUACGGGUCCCAGUGUGACAGAGGAUGCUACAGACACGUCUGUGGGUGUCUGUCAGCUACAGAGUAGGAGCCGCAUUUAGAGGGGUGAAGAUGCCGCGCACCCACCUCCCUGCAGUGCGCCUGAUCCACAGUUCUCACGACCCCACCCCAUGGCCCUGAUUGGAUACGGCUCCAGGUCCCGCCCCCUGGAGACCGAGUAACAGAAGAGGCGAUCUCACUGUGCUGAGUGGAGCGCGAUGAACAGGUUCCAGACACAGCCCUUGGCAGGCGGGCUUCCUCCCAGUGCAGUGACCCGACUCUCCUGGGGAGAAAUGUGCACUUAAGCAGAAUUUCCUGACUGAUUGUACUAAUGGCCCUUCCUGCUUCUUUUUCCUGGACCAGCAAUCACAAGUGUGUGCUAGGAAUCCCAGACUCACUGUCCAGUGGCGCCAUCUCCUGGCCUUGGAGCAGGAGGGGGGCUCUGUCCUCCAGGAAUCAGGAAUUUGGCAUGAGGCUGCUGGCGACAUAGUCAAGCCUUUCUCCCAUCUGAUGUCUCAAUCUGCUUAUUUUCAAGAAAAUAAAAACACAUCGAUAACAGGAUAAAACUGUUAAAUUCACGGAAAAGCUGGACUUAUAUGACAGCAAUAUUCUAUAAAGGAAUCAAUAGAGAGAAAAAGCAAAAACAUGAGCUAGCUCAGAGAAGCAGUCUUUCAGACGCAGUUCAGCAGGAAAACCCCAAUUUAGAGGUUAAACAUAUUCCCAACCAUGGGUGCCAGACUGUUGAAAUGGGUCCCCAGAGGCCGGGUGCGGUGGCUCACACCUGUAAUCCCAGCAUUUUGGGAGGCCAAUGCGGAUGGAUCACCUGAGGUCAGGAGUUCGAGACAAACCUUGCCAAUACGGUGAAACCCCGUCUCUACUAAAAAUACAAAAAUUAGCCAGGCAUGAUGGUGGGCGCCUGUAAUCCCAGCUACUCAGGAGGCUGAGGCAGGAGAAUCGCUUGAACCCGGGGUGGGGCGGCGGGGGGAGCGGACAGAGGUUGCAGUGAGCCAAGAUUGUGCCACUUCACUCCAGCCUGGGCGAAAGAGCAAAACUCUGUCUCAAAAAAGAAAAAAGAUAAGAAAAAGAAAUGGGUCCCCAGAGUGUCCCUGCCUCAUUACCAAGUCAUGGUGAUGAGGCAAGAUACAUAAGGAUUCAGCUCUGGGAGUUCAACUUGCCCUCUUGUCCCCUCUGCAGAGUGUGGCUAUGCUCCCUCCUUUAAGUGUUAAUAAAAGUUUCCAAUCAAAAGCCAAGAAACUAGACACUGAUUUUGAAAACAUAAGGAAUUCCUCGUAUUUUAUGAAAAACAAAGCUAUUAGUCAUACAGAACACGAAUAGUACAAUGGCAGACAUAAUGCCUUCGUUAUCGGUAAUUAAAUGGAAUAAACUUGCCAAACAAAAGACAGAGGCAGGGAGAAUGAAUCUUUAAAAUAUGAUCAAAUUGUAUCCUGUCUACAGCACAUUCAUUGUAGAUCUCAAUACCCAAGUCAGUUGAAAGAGAAUGAAAGAAAAAGAUAUUCCAUGCAAAUAGUAAUGUAAAGAGAGCAGGGGUGGCUAUACAAUUGUCACACAAAAUAGACUAAGUCAAAAACUGUUAAAAGACACAAAGAAGAGCACUAUAAAAGGCUCAAAUCAUACAGAAUAUAUAACAGUUAUAAAUAUAAUUGCACUAAAUAACAGAGGCCCAAAAUAUAUGAAGCAAACAUUUUAAAAAUUUAAAAGGAAGGUCAGGUGUGGUGGCUCACCCCUGUAAUCCCAGC